rnacentral:rRNA from 1 species
GAUGAACGCUGACAGAAUGCUUAACACAUGCAAGUCUACUUGAACUUCGGUUUGGGUGGCGGACGGGUGAGUAACGCGUACAGAACUUGCCUCACAGUUAGGGACAACAUUUGGAAACGAAUGCUAAUACCUGAUAUUAUGAUUUUAGGGCAUCCUAAAAUUAUGAAAGCUAUAUGCGCUGUGAGAGAGCUUUGCGUCCCAUUAGCUAGUUGGAGAGGUAACGGCUCACCAAGGCGAUGAUGGGUAGCCGGCCUGAGAGGGUGAACGGCCACAAGGGGACUGAGACACGGCCCUUACUCCUACGGGAGGCAGCAGUGGGGAAUAUUGGACAAUGGACCAAAAGUCUGAUCCAGCAAUUCUGUGUGCACGAUGACGUUUUUCGGAAUGUAAAGUGCUUUCAGUUGGGAAGAAAAAAAUGACGGUACCAACAGAAGAAGUGACGGCUAAAUACGUG